AACCCGUAGAUCCGAACUUGCGGUACGACUGCCUCACACAAGCUCGAGUCUGUGGGUAUG
rnacentral:pre_miRNA from 3 species